AACGUAGGGAAACUUACGCUACUACCGCAUACGACCUACGGGUGAAAGCAGGGGAUCUUCGGACCUUGCGCGAUUGAAUGAGCCGAUGUCGGAUUAGCUAGUUGGCGGGGUAAAGGCCCACCAAGGCGACGAUCCGUAGCUGGUCUGAGAGGAUGAUCAGCCACACUGGAACUGAGACACGGUCCAGACUCCUACGGGAGGCAGCAGUGGGGAAUAUUGGACAAUGGGCGCAAGCCUGAUCCAGCCAUACCGCGUGGGUGAAGAAGGCCUUCGGGUUGUAAAGCCCUUUUGUUGGGAAAGAAAUCCAGCUGGCUAAUACCCGGUUGGGAUGACGGUACCCAAAGAAUAAGCACCGGCUAACUUCGUGCCAGCAGCCGCGCCAAUACGAAGGGUGCAAGCGUUACUCGGAAUUACUGGGCGUAAAGCGUGCGUAGGUGGUCGUUUAAGUCCGUUGUGAAAGCCCUGGGCUCAACCUGGGAACUGCAGUGGAUACUGGGCGACUAGAGUGUGGUAGAGGGUAGCGGAAUUCCUGGUGUAGCAGUGAAAUGCGUAGAGAUCAGGAGGAACAUCCAUGGCGAAGGCAGCUACCUGGACCAACACUGACACUGAGGCACGAAAGCGU
rnacentral:rRNA from 1 species